rnacentral:rRNA from 1 species
UACAGAGGUCCCAAGCGUUGUUCGGAUUCAUUGGGCGUAAAGGGUGCGUAGGCGGCUCGGUAAGUCGGGUGUGAAACCCCCAGGCUCAACCUGGGGACGCCACCCGAUACUGCUGUGGCUAGAGUCCGGAAGAGGAGAGUGGAAUUCCUGGUGUAGCGGUGAAAUGCGCAGAUAUCAGGAAGAACACCCGUGGCGAAGGCGGCUCUCUGGGACGGUACUGACGCUGAGACGCGAAAGCGUGGGGAGCGAACAGG